rnacentral:rRNA from 1 species
ACUCAAAUGAAUUGACGGGGGCCCGCACAAGCGGUGGAGCAUGUGGUUUAAUUCGACGCAACGCGAAGAACCUUACCUGGGUUAAAUCCGCCCGAACCUGGCAGAGAUGUCGGGGUGCCCUUCGGGGAGCGGGCGAGAAGGUGCUGCAUGGCUGUCGUCAGCUCGUGUCGUGAGAUGUUGGGUUAAGUCCCGCAACGAGCGCAACCCUUGUCGUUAGUUGCUAACGGGUCAUGCCGAGCACUCUAGCGAGACUGCCGACGUUAAGUCGGAGGAAGGUGGGGAUGACGUCAAGUCCUCAUGGCCCUUAUGCCCAGGGCUACACACGUGCUACAAUGGCCGGUACAAAGGGUUGCUAAACCGCGAGGUCGCGCUAAUCCCAAAAAACCGGUCUCAGUUCGGAUUGGAGUCUGCAACUCGACUCCAUGAAGUUGGAAUCGCUAGUAAUCGCGGAUCAGCACGCCGCGGUGAAUACGUUCCCGGGCCUUGCACACACCGCCCGU